rnacentral:tRNA from 1 species
GCCCAGGUGGUGAAAUGGCAGACACACCAGUCUUAGGAACUGGUGCCGCAAGGCGUGGGGGUUCGAAUCCCUUUCUGGGUA